rnacentral:rRNA from 1 species
UACGUAGGGGGGCAAGCGUUGUCCGGAAUCAUUGGGCGUAAAGGGCGUGUAGGCGGUUUGUUAAGUCAUGUGUGAAAUCCCUCGGCUCAACCGGGGAACGACGCAUGAAACUGGCAAGCUAGAGUACCAAAGAGGGGGGUGGAAUUCCCGGUGUAGCGGUGAAAUGCGUAGAUAUUGGGAGGAACACCAGUGGCGAAGGCGGCUCACUGGACCGGAACUGACGCUGAGGCGCGAAAGCGUGGGGAGCAAACAGG